CAGUAGCUUAUGGUAUGGACGCAUUAAUCUAAUCCAUCUGCUAUGGUGGCUGUGUUCAAGCGCCCAAGCACUUCAUUCUACAUUCGCUAACUUGAGAGUCUUCCUACACGGGAAGAGGGGAGUUGUCAGUUCCUUUCAACCUUCAAAAACCAUUUACAUCUCUUUCUACCUCUCAAGUUCUCUUUCCCCGAUCAAUCCGGCGAUUGCUGAGAUGAUCCAUCUCUCUCUUUAACAUUCUAGUUGACUUAUCUUUAUUCCCUUUCCAAGCCAAUACACAACAAAACAAUCUGUGGAAAAAUCUUUCCAGUUUUCAGGCCUUUCUUUGAUAUAUUCAACUCGUCUCAUUUGUAUGCAAGUAGCAAUUAAAUCAAAGCAAUGGUAUCAGCAGAAGACUUCAGCUUCCCUAAGAUCACCAACCCUCUUCCUCACUUUGCAAUUUCACCUUCCUUAUGGCGUGUAUCUUCCAUAGUUUAUCCUGAUGAUGAGAGAGAGGCUGCAGGCUUCGCCGGCAAGAGCUUAUCCUCCUUGGAAAGUGAGGUACUAGCCAAUAAGGAGGAGAAGAUGGACAUGUUAUGGGAGGACUUCAACGAAGAGCUUCAAAGGGUUUCUUCCUUGGGCAAGAAUAAACAAUUAUCUGAAUCACCAUCAUCAUCGCCAUCGUCAUCUACUAGAGAUCAUCAGGAGCUGCAGCUUUACUGUGUGCAGGCUGUAACCAUGUCCAAACCUGGCAGUGUAUAUCAGCCUAAGAAACAAAGCUUGGUUAUGGUGGUUAAGGUUUUGAAGAAGAUUUUCUUGCUUCAGAAAUCAGCUCAGAUCAAGAACAACUGAUUAAUUAAAAUAUAUGUGUCUGUUGUGCUAACUUUGGUAUAGAGAACGUACUUGUGAUUAAUAUUCAUCAAUACUUUUGCAAAUCACAAGUGAUUAAUAUACUUAUGGCCCAAUAGACAAAUGAUUUGCAAUUCUACUGUCUUAUUAGCAAAUGCAGAGUAUUAAUUCUUGCCUUUUUGAGAGCUAUGCUUCUGUUUCAGUUUUACCAUCCUCAAAAGCUGCAUGCCUCUGAUAACCAAAUUAUGCCUGCAAAUUAAUUGCAUUGCUUCCUAAUUAAUUACCCUUUUGUUAUUCAACGAAUAUUUAGUUUGUAUUACAAUUAAUUACUGUAAACACUAAUCUUUGUGAUUAUUCAAGAAUUGAUGGAGUAAAAUAUAAUCCAAAUAUUACAACUUGAAUUUUGAAAUCAUUAGUGCCAUGUCCUCCAAGGCAUUCAUACAAACGUUUCCUUUUCUUGCAUUAAUGAUUUGAAAAUUGCUUUGUCGUUGUCACAAUACUUGUCACAAUACUUGUUUUGAAUUCAAACAACUUCAAAUUGCAGUUGAAUAAGGGAAAUUUAUUUAUUUCUUUUUUAUAAUAGGGAAAUUUAAAAUUAGGAACGUUUCAAUUUGCUUUUUUAUCUUGAAUUAUAGGAUUUUAUUGAUUAAUUUUAAUAAGCCAAAAACAAUUUCAUGAGAUAUUUUUGUUAAAUUAUUCGUCAAAUCCUUAAUUUCAUUAUUUG
rnacentral:misc_RNA from 1 species